AGCUGAGGAUACAGUCUGGCCCCUUCUCCACAGGUAUCCUGGCUUCUCUGUGCCUUGACGGCGGAACCUGGGAAGUCACUUCUCUAGAGAUGCCCUGGGAAGACAGAUGAGCCUGGUCCUCCAAGAGCUGGAGUUACUAGCCGGUGUGAGUCAGCAGGCACAGGUGUGGGAACUGAGCUCUGAAUGGAUACACACAGCAAACUGGAACAACAAUGACACAUUAUCUAACUAUGUCACAAGAAGUCAGCUCUGGAAACUGCGGGGCAGAGGAGCUGCAGACAGACACAGGUUCCCACCUUGAGCUCCCGUCCUGAUGUCCCUCAGCUGUGAUGGGAACGUGGAAGCUAAAUAAGCCGUCUCCUCUCCCACGUGGUUUCCGUCUGGGCUCUAAUGCAGUGACAGAGAAGCAAAUUAAGAAUGGAACAGAAGAAUUCUAGAGCAGGACUGAGAAAGCAGAAGUUAGCUCAUGAGUAACUGUGAGAUCUUAGGAAGGCACUUGAUCUCCGGGGCCCGGGUUUCCCCUCUUGCACAGCGGAAAUAUGCCGGUGAGCCCCACCCUGCCCCUUGGGAGCUGUGAGGGGAAGCCCUCUCUGGUAAGGACCCUGCAGCCACCAUGCCACAGGCCUGCACUGGGGACACUUAGAAUCUAAACAGUGCCCUGUUACUUCAGAAGGGACCAGCCUGGCUUCCCUAGGUGGGAAGGAUGGUGGUAACUCAAGGCCAGCAGGAUCGGUUGAUGUAAACAAAAAUUACAGCUGCCUUGAAAUGUCAGAGGCAGCCCUGGGGUGUGGCAUGAGCUUUCUCACCCUUUGCCCUGC